rnacentral:rRNA from 1 species
ACUUACGGCCAUACCAUCCUGAAUACGCCCGAUCUCGUCUGAUCUCGGAAGCUAAGCAGGGUCGGGCCUCGUUAGUACUUGGAUGGGAGACCAACUGGGAAUAACAGGUGCUGUAAGUG